UCAAAAACAUGGCCUUUUGAUAAUAAUUUAAGGUCAGGCCUGCCCACUGAAUAUUAAAGGGCCGCGGUAAUUUGACCGUGCUAAGGUAGCAUAAUCAUUAGUUUCUUAAUUAGAAGCUAGAAUGAAGGGUUUGAUGAAAAAAUUACUGUCUCUAUUUAAUUAAUAUAAAAUUUUAUUUUUAAGUUAGAAAGCUUAAAUUUAUUUAAAAGACGAGAAGACCCUAUAGAGUUUAAUAUUUUUUUUUAGUAAUAUUUUAUUGGAAUAAUAAUUUUUUACUUUAAAUAAUAUUUAAUUGGGGUGAUUGAAAAAUUAAAUAAACUUUUUCUAUAAUUAACCAUUAAUUUAUGAAUACUUGAUCCAUUAAUAGUGAUUAUAAGAAAAAAUUACCUUAGGGAUAACAGCGUAAUUUUUUUUGAGAGUUCUUAUCGAAAAAAAAGAUUGCGACCUCGAUGUUGGAUUAAAAUUUAAUUUUGGUGUAGCAGCUAAAAAUAUUAGGUCUGUUCGACCUUUGAAAUUUUACAUGAUCUGA
rnacentral:rRNA from 1 species